rnacentral:rRNA from 1 species
AUUGAACGCUGGCGGCAUGCCUUACACAUGCAAGUCGAACGGCAGCACGGGGGCAACCCUGGUGGCGAGUGGCGAACGGGUGAGUAAUGCAUCGGAACGUGCCCAGUAGUGGGGGAUAACUAGUCGAAAGAUUAGCUAAUACCGCAUACGACCUAUGGGUGAAAGCGGGGGACCUUUACCGGCCUCGCGCUAUCGGAGCGGCCGAUGUCUGAUUAGCUAGUUGGCGGGGUAAAGCCCACCAAGGCUUCGAUCAGUAGCUGGUCUGAGAGGACGACCAGCCACACUGGGACUGAGACACGGCCCAGACUCCUACGGGAGGCAGCAGUGGGGAAUUUUGGACAAUGGGCGCAAGCCUGAUCCAGCCAUGCCGCGUGCGGGAAGAAGGCCU